AUUACUCCUACGGGAGGCAGCAGUGAGGAAUAUUGGACAAUGGGCGCAAGCCUGAUCCAGCCAUGCCGCGUGCAGGAUGACGGUCCUAUGGAUUGUAAACUGCUUUUGCACAGGAAGAAACACCCCGACGUGUCGGGGCUUGACGGUACUGUGAGAAUAAGGAUCGGCUAACUCCGUGCCAGCAGCCGCGGUA
rnacentral:rRNA from 1 species